rnacentral:rRNA from 1 species
AUUGAACGCUGGCGGCAGGCCUAACACAUGCAAGUCGAACGAGUGGCGGACGGGUGAGUAAUGUCUGUGAAAUUGCCUGCUGUAGGGGGAUAACUACUGGAAACGGUAGCUAUUACCGCAUACUAUCAGAUGUGCCCAGAUGGGAUUAGCUUGUUGGUGGGGUAACGGCUCACCACGGCGACGAUCCCUAGCUGGUCUGAGAGGAUGAGCAGCCACACUGGAAAAGAGACACGGGCCAGACUCCAACGGGAGGCAGCAGGGGGGAAUAUUGCACAAUUGGCGCAAGCCUGAUGCAGCCAUGCCGCGUGUAUGGAGAAGGCGUUCGGGUUGUAAAGUACUUUCAGCGGGGAGGCGGUACCCGCAGAAGAAGCACCGGCUAACUCCGUGCCAGCAGCCGCGGUAAUUC